AAACUAAAUGGCUGCAGUAACUAUGACUGUAUGAAUGUAGCAUAAUCACUCGUUACUUAAAUAGUGGGUAGUAUGAAUGGUUAAACGAAAAUUUCUGUCUUUUAUAUUACAUAAUUAAUCAAUAAUUCAAUAAAAGAUAGGUAGUUUCAUUGGGGCGAUGGUCUCUAAAAAAUAACAGAGAUAAACUAUAUUAACAACAAAAAUUUAAUGUUUAAUUAAUAAAUUUAACAGUUACUAAGUAGGUUAUAAAGACCCAUUAUUAUCUAUAAAAAUAAGUAAUGAUCGAAAAAUAAAAGCUACUUAAGGGGUAACAGGAUAAUAUUUUCUGAGAGUCCUUAUCAAAGAAAAACAUUAUCACCUUGAUGUUGAAUUAAGAU
rnacentral:rRNA from 1 species